rnacentral:rRNA from 1 species
CCUACGGGAGGCAGCAGUGGGGAAUAUUGCACAAUGGGCGCAAGCCUGAUGCAGCGACGCCGCGUGAGGGAUGACGGCCUUCGGGUUGUAAACCUCUUUCAGUAGGGAAGAAGCGAAAGUGACGGUACCUGCAGAAGAAGCGCCGGCUAACUACGUGCCAGCAGCCGCGGUAAUACGUAGGGCGCAAGCGUUAUCCGGAAUUAUUGGGCGUAAAGAGCUCGUAGGCGGUUUGUCGCGUCUGCCGUGAAAGUCCGGGGCUCAACUCCGGAUCUGCGGUGGGUACGGGCAGACUAGAGUGAUGUAGGGGAGACUGGAAUUCCUGGUGUAGCGGUGAAAUGCGCAGAUAUCAGGAGGAACACCGAUGGCGAAGGCAGGUCUCUGGGCAUUAACUGACGCUGAGGAGCGAAAGCAUGGGGAGCGAACAGGAUUAGAUACCCUGGUAGUCCAUGCCGUAAACGUUGGGCACUAGGUGUGGGGGACAUUCCACGUUUUCCGCGCCGUAGCUAACGCNUUAAGUNCCCGCCGNGGNGNGCGCAGNAACACAGA